GACGUAGGGGGCGAGCGUUGUCCGGAAUUAUUGGGCGUAAAGGGCUCCUAGGUGGUUCAGUAAGUCGACUGUGAAAAUCCAAGGCUCAACCUUGGGACUGCAGCCGAUACUGCUGUGACUCGAGUCCGGUAGAGGAGUGUGGAAUUCCUGGUGUAGCGGUGGAAUGCGCAGAUAUCAGGAGGAACACCAACGGCGAAGGCAGCACUCUGGGCCGGUACUGACACUGAAGAGCGAAAGCGUGGGGAGCAAA
rnacentral:rRNA from 1 species